AGAUUGAACGCUGGCGGCAUGCCUUACACAUGCAAGUCGAACGGCAGCACGGGGGCAACCCUGGUGGCGAGUGGCGAACGGGUGAGUAAUGCAUCGGAACGUGCCCAGUAGUGGGGGAUAACUAGUCGAAAGAUUAGCUAAUACCGCAUACGACCUAUGGGUGAAAGCGGGGGAUUCGCAAGAACCUCGCGCUAUCGGAGCGGCCGAUGUCUGAUUAGCUAGUUGGCGGGUAAAAGCCACCUAAGGCUUCGAUCAGUAGCUGGUCUGACGAGGACGACCAGCCACACUGGGACUGAGACACGGCCCAGACU
rnacentral:rRNA from 1 species